rnacentral:tRNA from 1 species
GGCGCUAUCGUCUAGUCCGGUCUAGGACGUUGGAUUUUCAUUCCAAAAACCCGGGUUCAAAUCCCGGUAGCGCUACAA